UACAGGGGGGGGCAAGCGUUGUUCGGAAUUACUGGGCGUAAAGGGCCAGUAGGCGGCCAACUAAGUCCGACGUGAAAUCCCCAGGCUUAACCUGGGAACUGCGUCGGAUACUGGAUGGCUUGAAUUCGGGAGAGGGAUGCAGAAUUCCAGGUGUAGCGGUGGAAUGCGUAGAGAUCCGGAAGAACACCGGUGGCGAAGGCGGCCUGCUGGGCAGGUUGCUGACACUGAGGCGCGACAGCGUGGGGAGCAAACAGG
rnacentral:rRNA from 1 species